rnacentral:rRNA from 1 species
AGCCAGGAUGUUGGCUUAGAAGCAGCCAUCAUUUAAAGAAAGCGUAAUAGCUCACUGGUCGAGUCGGCCUGCGCGGAAGAUGUAACGGGGCUAAACCAUGCACCGAAGCUGCGGCAGCGACGCUUAUGCGUUGUUGGGUAGGGGAGCGUUCUGUAAGCCUGUGAAGGUGUACUGUGAGGUAUGCUGGAGGUAUCAGAAGUGCGAAUGCUGACAUAAGUAACGAUAAAGCGGGUGAAAAGCCCGCUCGCCGGAAGACCAAGGGUUCCUGUCCAACGUUAAUCGGGGCAGGGUGAGUCGACCCCUAAGGCGAGGCCGAAAGGCGUAGUCGAUGGGAAACAGGUUAAUAUUCCUGUACUUGGUGUUACUGCGAAGGGGGGACGGAGAAGGCUAUGUUGGCCGGGCGACGGUUGUCCCGGUUUAAGCGUGUAGGCUGGUUUCCAGGCAAAUCCGGAAAAUCAAGGCUGAGGCGUGAUGACGAGGCACUACGGUGCUGAAGCACAAAUGCCCUGCUUCCAGGAAAAGCCUCUAAGCAUCAGGUAACAUCAAAUCGUACCCCAAACCGACACAGGUGGUCAGGUAGAGAAUACCAAGGCGCUUGAGAGAACUCGGGUGAAGGAACUAGGCAAAAUGGUGCCGUAACUUCGGGAGAAGGCACGCUGAUAUGUAGGUGAAGCGACUUGCUCGUGGAGCUGAAAUCAGUCGAAGAUACCAGCUGGCUGCAACUGUUUAUUAAAACACAGCACUGUGCAAACACGAAAGUGGACGUAUACGGUGUGACGCCUGCCCGGUGCCGGAAGGUUAAUUGAUGGGUCAGCGCAAGCGAAGCUCUUGAUCGAAGCCCGGUAAACGGCGGCCGUAACUAUAACGGUCCUAAGGUAGCGAAAUUCCUUGUCGGGUAAGUUCCGACCUGCACGAAUGGCGUAAUGAUGGCCAGGCUGUCUCCACCCGAGACUGCCAGUGAAAUUGAACUCGCUGUGAAGAUGCAGUGUACCCGCGGCAAGACGGAAAGACCGCCCGUGAACCUUUACUAUAGCUUGACACUGAACAUUGAGCCUUGAUGUGUAGGAUAGGUGGGAGGCUUUGAAGUGUGGACGCCAGUCUGCAUGGAGCCGACCUUGAAAUACCACCCUUUAAUGUUUGAUGUUCUAACGUGGACCCGUAAUCCGGGUUGCGGACAGUGUCUGGUGGGUAGUUUGACUGGGGCGGUCUCCUCCUAAAGAGUAACGGAGGAGCACGAAGGUUGGCUAAUCCUGGUCGGACAUCAGGAGGUUAGUGCAAUGGCAUAAGCCAGCUUGACUGCGAGCGUGACGGCGCGAGCAGGUGCGAAAGCAGGUCAUAGUGAUCCGGUGGUUCUGAAUGGAAGGGCCAUCGCUCAACGGAUAAAAGGUACUCCGGGAUAACAGGCUGAUACCGCCCAAGAGUUCAUAUCGACGGCGGUGUUUGGCACCUCGAUGUCGGCUCAUCACAUCCUGGGGCUGAAGUAGGUCCCAAGGGUAUGGCUGUUCGCCAUUUAAAGUGGUACGCGAGCUGGGUUUAGAACGUCGUGAGACAGUUCGGUCCCUAUCUGCCGUGGGCGCUGGAGAACUGAGGGGGCUGCUCCUAGUACGAGAGGACCGGAGUGGACGCAUCACUGGUGUUCGGGUUGUCAUGCCAAUGGCACUGCCCGGUAGCUAAAUGCGGAAGAGAUAAGUGCUGAAAGCAUCUAAGCACGAAACUUGCCCCGAGAUGAGUUCUCCCUGACUCCUUGAGAGUCCUGAAGGAACGUUGAAGACGACGACGUUGAUAGGCCGGGUGUGUAAGCGCAGCGAUGCGUUGAGCUAACCGGUACUAAUGAACCGUGAGGCUUAACC